rnacentral:rRNA from 1 species
UACGGGGGGGGGCAAGCGUUGUUCGGAAUUACUGGGCGUAAAGGGCUCGUAGGUGGCCAACUAAGUCGGACGUGAAAUCCCUCGGCUUAACCGGGGGAACUGCGUCUGAUACUGGAUGGCUUGAGUUCGGGAGAGGGAUGCGGAAUUCCAGGUGUAGCGGUGAAAUGCGUAGAUAUCUGGAGGAACACCGGUGGCGAAGGCGGCAUCCUGGACCGACACUGACGCUGAGGAGCGAAAGCCAGGGGAGCAAACGGG